rnacentral:tRNA from 1 species
GGGGAUAUAGCUCAAUGGGAGAGCGUCCGCCUUGCACGCGGAAGGUUGCCGGUUCGAGUCCGGCUAUCUCCA